CCCUUAGACGUUCUGGGCCGCACGCGCGCUACACUGACGGAGCCAGCGAGUAUAAACCUUGGCCGAGAGGUCUGGGAAAUCUUGUGAAACUCCGUCGUGCUGGGGAUAGAGCAUUGUAAUUAUUGCUCUUCAACGAGGAAUUCCUAGUAAGCGCAAGUCAUCAGCUUGCGUUGAUUACGUCCCUGCCCUUUGUACACACCGCCCGUCGCUCCUACCGAUUGAAUGCUCAGGUGAGCCAUUCGGACUUUCAUCAUGCUGGUUUCCAGUUUUGAUGAAGGAAAGUCUUGCGAACCUUAUCAUUUAGAGGAAGGAGAAGUCGUAACA
rnacentral:rRNA from 1 species